rnacentral:rRNA from 1 species
GACGGAGGAUGCAAGUGUUAUCCGGAAUCACUGGGCGUAAAGCGUCUGUAGGUGGUUCGAAAAGUCCACUGUUAAAAAUUGAGGCUUAACUUCAAAGAUGCCGUGGAAACUUUCAAAUUAGAGUAUGGUAGGGGUAGAGGGAAUUUCCAGUGGAGCGGUGAAAUGCGUAGAUAUUGGAAAGACCACCGAUGGCGAAAGCACUCUACUGGGCCAUUACUGACACUGAGAGACGAAAGCUAGGGGAGCAAAUGGG